AAUAGAUGAGCCUAAGUCGGAUUAGCUAGUUGGUGGGGUAAAGGCCUACCAAGGCGACGAUCUGUAGCGGGUCUGAGAGGAUGAUCCGCCACACUGGGACUGAGACACGGCCCAGACUCCUACGGGAGGCAGCAGUGGGGAAUAUUGGACAAUGGGCGCAAGCCUGAUCCAGCCAUGCCGCGUGUGUGAAGAAGGCCUUAUGGUUGUAAAGCACUUUAAGCGAGGAGGAGGCUACUUUAGAUAAUACCUAGAGAUAGUGGACGUUACUCGCAGAAUAAGCACCGGCUAACUCUGUGCCAGCAGCCGCGGUAAUACAGAGGGUGCAAGCGUUAAUCGGAUUUACUGGGCGUAAAGCGCGCGUAGGCGGCUAAUUAAGUCAAAUGUGAAAUCCCCGAGCUUAACUUGGGAAUUGCAUUCGAUACUGGUUAGCUAGAGUGUGGGAGAGGAUGGUAGAAUUCCAGGUGUAGCGGUGAAAUGCGUAGAGAUCUGGAGGAAUACCGAUGGCGAAGGCAGCCAUCUGGCCUAACACUGACGCUGAGGUGCGAAAGCAUGGGGAGCAAACAGGAUUAGAUACCCUGGUAGUCCAUGCCGUAAACGAUGUCUACUAGCCGUUGGGGCCUUUGAGGCUUUAGUGGCGCAGC
rnacentral:rRNA from 1 species